ensembl:lncRNA
ACUAGGUGACGUAUAGGCGUGGUUAGUGGUUCUCGUGCUGAGUCAGUGCUCUGUCAUAUGGCUACCUCAGCUUUGACACGGUGUGUUCUGUUUGUCUUGGGCAGGUUUGAGACCUCGCCAGAGACCCGGAUACAGGCGGAGGAGAGGCGGUACUACCCCGGAGGCAGAGCGCUGCAGCACCACCCCAGACUGAACACCUACACCCUGACUGUGGACACGGUUGCAGGGAAACGUCCGCCCAGCCUCAAGGGAGAGGUGGAGGAGCUACAGAAACUGAUACAGCGGUACACAGACCGCGGGGGAGAUGUUGUGUUCCAGAAGUUGUCGGCAGACGAGCUGAACACCCCCACAGUAGGAUCCAGCGACCUCAGCAACCUGUCAGCACACACUGCUUCACGCCCCCCCCACUGCCAUGCCUGCCUCCCGGGAGGGGCGGGGCCUUUUCCGAACGGCCAGCAAGAGGAAGGGGAGGCGUGCUCUGCUCAGACGGCUGUAGAGGACUGUGGGAAGGCGUCUGAUAAAAGAAGCGAAGCCGCAGCCCAGCAGCCGAGGGAGGGCGAGGCUUUAGCUUUCAGCGCACCAUCCUGUGGAAAUCAGCCGGAGGAAGCUGAUAGAGAGAGGACAGGCUUAAUCACCGCCAGGCAGGGCGGCAAGGCAGGUCGCCGUAAAAGAAACAAAGCGGAGAGAGAGAAGAGGAGGGCAGAGACGUUCGCCGCUGCCCUGGCUUCAUCGGCCAUGGGCCAGACACAGUCCCAGGAGAGCCAGGAACACCCGGAAGACGGGCAGGAAGACAGGCAGGAACCCCAGCGGGCCGGGGAGAGGACUGCUAACAGCGGUGACAUGGGGGCUCAGGAAACCGCACACAGGCAGGGAGAGCCUGAGAUCAUCCAGGAGACCCCUGUGGAAAACGGCAAGUUGGGGUACGCCGAGGCGGCCACUGAAUGUGCCCUUCAGACGACGACGGGAGCCAAGAGCUGCCACGGGGCGCACGCUACGGAGUCACAGGACUCGGAACAAAGACAGGAAACUGCUGCAGCCGUGACAAGUUAUUCUGAGGAGCACGAGUGGGGCUUUAGCUGCCGCCAGACCCCUGGGGCCGAGGAGGAGGGAGGCGGGGACGGGGGCGGUGCUGACGACACUGAGACAGAGGCAGGAAACCCCAGCCAACCGACCAACGGAUUCAGCCCUGAGUCAACCAGCAGCAGGAGCGGAGGCGCCCAGACAACCGACGCAAGCCGAAGCCCCAGCAUGGCGGAGGGAGACAGCGAGAGCGGAUGUUUCCGACAACCUGAUAGAGUUCCGUCACCACAACCGAGUGAGCCGGUCCCGGGCUCGGAGCCGCAGGACACAGCGGAGAUAGCGGCACCACCACAAAGUAGGCCGGACCCGGACGGCGCCCGAGACCGGGGAGGGCAGGAACGCGACGAACAGACGUCCGCCGACAUUUCCUUGGCCGAGGAGGAGAAGGAGCUCGUCCAGGCAGUUGAUCCGUCUGAAGAGAGCGCUGUGGGAGGACAGGAGACGCCCAGGAUAAAUAAGCUCUCCGUUCAGUGGGCGUCGCUGGAGGAGACAGACUCCCUGGCUCACAGGGAAGAGAUAGCAGCCACGGCAAUAGCAGUAGUGGCCAUAGCCAUCGCAGCUGCUGUCGCAAAUGUAGAACAAUGCAACGCCACGCUGGAGGAGAGCCAGGCCUUGGAGACUGCCAGGAGCCAGCCUCUGACCGGACCCCAAGACACUGCGCCAAUGGCUGGGGUCACAGUCUCUGAGGCCACCCUCGCCACCUCAGACGAAGGUCCAACCUUCACUCCCGAGGAUUCGGAGAACCCCUCAAAGGGAGAGGCAGAGCCUAACCUCAGACAACACGAGGAGAACGGCGACCAGGCUAGUGAGAGGCCUGAAAGUGGACCGGGAUUGGAGGCCGGUCCGGCAGGACUGAGUACACCCCAGGGAGACUCCCAGUCUGACACACUGUUUCAUCAUGAAAGGGCCGCAGACACACUUGGCGAUGAGGUCAUCACUUCCCCCUGUCCCUCCCCAGAGUGGUCUUCAGAGCUGACACAACAGGAGAUUUUUCCUUCAGACAUAGGAGUGACCCUUGGAACCCAGACACACCCAGACGGUGGUUGGUCGCGGAGUCCAGAGACGACUUCCCUGUCAGACCUAGACAGUGGAACAUGCCUGGGUGAUGAGCAGCACAGCUCCUCAGUGGAAGUAGACAGUGGAGAGUCCCUGGCCAUACAGCCCUCAGACACACUGGAUAUGCUGGAUGCAGGGAACGAGGGAACGAUGGAUACUGAAGGAGACAGUACAAAAGAUUUGAGGCCAGCUCUUGACGAGUGUCCGACAGCCCAAGACACAGACUGCAGAGCUCAUGAACAGGAGGAGGAGGAGAUGAAACCCCUCUCAGACAUGGCAGACGAGACGCUGAUCCACACAGAGAAGGAGACAUUCUACCCGGUCCAGCCCUGCUCAGAGCCCACAAUACAGGAAACAUCCACCAUCCCAGAAUGCACAGAAUGCCCAGAGACCCCAUGCUCCGACAGUGUUGGAGGGUCAGUGUGUGGAGGCCUGCCAGACUCAGUCAGUGAUGCCGACAGUCUGAUCAGUGCAGAGCUGGGAGAGGACAGCGUCUUCAGAAAGGGAGAGGAGGCUGUGACUGGGCAAAGGGAC